CUUCAUCUUGUUUGAUGGUUCAAGAAAAAUAGUUGCAUGAAGAAGUGUAUUUGAUAAUGGAUUUUAUGUUUGGAUGGAGGGAAAUUCAGCUUUCGGCAAAUAAUGGGAUGUGUGGUUUUAUUUUUAUAGAAAGGGAAAUGUAGCUUUCAAACGUGCGCGCAAGAUCUUCGAUAAAAUGUUCCAGCGGCAACACUUAAAAAGUGACAAGGCCUAGAAACGACAAAGAUUUUAAACAUAAAAAGCAGCAGCUUUCCAGUCUCCAUUCGCAAAGCUUCUCCAAAUAUGAUUUUGUUAAGGUAAGAAUUAUUGUUAUUACCCUUUCCUUUACGUUGUACCAUUAUUCAGUUCAAUUUAAUUUCUCAACCUUUUUAUUUUUAUUUUUUUAAUUAUGUAAUCUAGAGGUGCACGUAUAGUUGAUAAUUUUCUACUAGUUCAGCUGAAGGAAGCUGGAAAAAAAAAUUAAAAAAAAAUCCCUCUCUCUCUGUAGCACCAUCCCUUCUUCUCUUGGCCACAUCCAAGAGAAAUGCUGGCGGCUAAAAUUCCAGUUAUUGUUGUUUCUAGAGUUUGAAUUCACUCCUUCGAAAACAAUCGGACAGAAUUACCUGAAUGCAGGAAUUGAUCAACAGGAUCAGAAAUUGUAAUUCGAGCCCACCGACUUCACGAUGUGUCCUUAAAACGAAUUUGCUGCCUUCAAUGGUGCUAAAGGCGUCCAGCAAUCGUUUCCCAGGAUAGAACGAAUUUUUCGUCUCCUACGGAAGCAGCACUGCAGUCUGUAGGAGUUCCAACGAACUCAACGAAGUGUUUUUGACUUCGAGACAAUAUCAGAACGAGAGAGAGGGAAAUGAGAUUCAAAGCACAGAAAGUUUACAAUGAAAAUGGUGUAAAUUUUCUGGUAGAAAGGCUGGCUAUUUAUAGACUUGUUCGUGGCCAUUCGAACAGUCAUCACCUUUCAGACAAGCCUCAAAAAUCCGAACAGACAUACUGUUCUUAAAAGUCGUGUCUGUUAAGUCGGUUAACAGUCGACUGUUUGGUCGGUAAACAGUCGACUGUUUGGUCGGUAAACAGUCGAAACAGUCGACUUUAUAAACCACACCAAAGUUUCGGAAUAAGCCAAAAUUUAAAUAAAUUUUGUACCCAAGAAUUUGAUUAUUUGCAAUUUGGCCCAAAAUUUUAAAUAAAUUUUGUCCAAAAAGUUAAUAUAGUGUAAAGGUCGACCCGGACCGGACUCGGGCACGUGCUCGUGCCGUGCCGGUCGGACGGACGGCGGCGGCGGCGCGCGCGUGUGGGUUUAUGAUCGAACCCAAUGGGAUAUAGGUCUUCCCCCUUCCAAAGACUAUUGGUACCCCUUGGGGCCCAAACCCAAUUCCAAACUUCCACCUUAUAAACCACACCAAAGUUUCCUAACUUUCCUAUGUGGGAUAAGUGUUUGACAAAUCAAAUUUUUCCAUAAUCCUUAGUUUAUGUGGGUUACUUUAACGCUUAAUAUUUCAUUCAAUAAGUGUUUGACAAAUCAAAUUCUUCCAUAAUCCUUAGUUUAUGUGGGUUACUUUAACGCUUAAUAUUUCAUUCAAUUUUAAAUGGUUUUCGAUAAAUAAAUAUAUCACGUUAAUCAUCUCGCGGAGUAGAACGUGAAUAUGCUAGGUCCCGCAUUAUUUAAAAGGUGGGUCCCACUGAAAUUUGGGCUCAAAGUUGACCCAUUAAACCAUUUUUUCCAACAGUUAUAAAGCCAAGAAUCUAACCAAGUGAGGGUAAUAUCCCAAAUCUAAUCCUUUAGUUCUUGUCUCAAAUGUAUCCUUUAUCCUUGUUCCAGUGGAAAUUUAUGGUCAUGAAUGGGAGGAAAGGCAACACGCAAUGGAAAAUGUAGAUAUUCGUAUAUGAAAAAGCCUUUUUUCCUUACUCCAGCUAGAUACUUGUUUCUCAAUUUAAAUAUAAACUUACAGAGUUUUGGGCUUCAUUGAGUAUCACGGGUCAAGAUUUUACGAAGACAAAGAAAAAUCCAUCUAGGUUGACCUUCUGCAACUGACUUUCGGGCUUCAAAGAUAGAAAGUCCAGUUGCUGAUGUCUUUUUGACGUGUUGCUUCAAUUAGUGUGAAUUGUUCAUGUCAUAUCUCACCUGCAUCAUGAAAAAUCAUCUGCAUAAUAAAAAUAUAGCUGGUUACGAACAUCAGGAUGUCCAAAGUGAAAGAAAACAAGAAACUACAGCUUUCGAAUAUCAGAGAGUACCAGUUGGAAUUUUGAAGAGUCAAGAGUGGAAGCAACUAAGUAAUAGAAAAUAUAAUGCAAGAAUUAAUCAAACAGCUCUGAUAUAAGAAUGGGAAAUGUGUUGACAAAAUGUUUAUAUUGGGAAAAUUGCAACAUGAGUCCCCUAUCUAUUCACUUAUUAUCAAACUGGUUCUCAAAUUAUAUUUUGGCAUUUAAUUCGGUAACUGAUCAUUUUUAUAGCACCGUGAUUCCGAGCUUGAUAGAAUCCGUACAUAAUAGCAUCAAAUAUGUAUGCGAGUCCUACAUGGCAUUCUCGAGGGGCAAAAUGUCAUUAAUCUACAACGUUAAAAUGAGAGGUUAAACAUCCUACUCAUUCCAACCAUAACCACUCCCCCUCCAUUUCCCAACUGCACCCUCUCCUCGAUGCCGGAAGUAUGCUAAAAUAAAAAAUAGUUUAGUAUGAUAAACCACAUUUUAAACUUGCUAAAAUAAAAAACCUUGGUUUCUAAGUAAUGGACUUUAAUAAUUUUCCAAAAAUUUAGAGACUGAACGUUCGCACAACGGUGGAAUUGUUAAUAUAAUUGCAACUCGUGUCCUAUUUCAUUGCCAAUGGACUCGUGACAUCCAUGCACUGAGUCGUCAAAUGACGCACGUUAAGAACAUUCUACUAGUUUUCUUGUUCAAGUUCUUCUUUUACUAUAAAUCUGAUGGUGUAGUGUUUUAUUUAUCGUUAGUUCUGCCAUCGUACUGUUUAAUGGGAACUUUAUUUGUUACACUGAUGGUUAAUCCUUGUUGGUUAGCAGCUGAACAUUAAAUAUGAUAUGAACCACAUUAAACGGAUUCAAGAAAUCAGCGAAACAAUGAUAUAUAUAACUUAUGGUGCAAAACUUGUAUGAAACAAUGAAAUUUGACAUAUUUGAAAAUUUUGGCAAAAUUAAACUAAAUGAGCAUUAAAUCCCUUGCAUGUUGUUAUAAACUAUAUUUAAAAUUUGUAUACUGGAUUUAUGCAUGUUCUUUUAUUGCACAAAAAAUAAGUAUCAUGUUAAACAGAAACAUAAUUACUUUCUAAAAAUUCACAAGAAAAACUAAUAUUAUAUAUUGUUGAGUCCUUUAAUUUUCCGUCUUCAUAUGGCUUCAGCAUACUCUAUGGACCUGCAAAUAAAACACUUGUGUCAGGAUUCUUUUCAAACAGUAUACCAUGAAUAUGAACAUUCAACAACCUAUGAUGCACAAACACUCCUACAGGUGUGACGUGUUCGUGCUUGUGUUCGACAAAUAUUGUGUCAUGUCGUGUGAGUCACUGAUACUCUUCGAAUACUACAAGAAAUGUGUAUUAUAUGUAAUUUUUCUUCCAAUAGUGUAAUAUAUAGUUUAAUUUAAAGUUAUUUUAGUAUAAUAAAUAUCUACUCAUCAAAUUUCAAACAUUUUACGAACAAAAGUCGAAACUGAAAAAGGACUUGAUUUCGUCAAAAGAUGAAAAGUAUAAAUAUAUAGAUAAAAUAUAUAUCUAAAUAUACAAUUUUAAAGAAUUUAAAUUAAUGUGUCCCCGAUGUGUCCAUGUUUUACAUAUUAAAUCAUGUGUUGGCAUAUCGUGUCGUGUCCAUGUCCGUGUCCCUAGAUAUUCAAGAACUUAGCAAAUAAGAAGAAUUGCCUGUUACUUAAUGAAAGUUUUUUCUCUUCAUUGAAUCUGGUGCCAAGAAAUGAAUCUCUGAUCAUUGACAACUCCCUGUCUACUUGGCGCAUACUCAUCCUAUGUUGUGGCAAGUCGACUGAACAUGCUACUCCAAUUUGAAGAACACAUAUUAAGCACUCUUGCUGUUCCAUUGUCAAGUUUUUCCAUCCUUCAUGCCAUGUUUUAGCUUUCCCUGUCGCUUCUUCACAUAGUGCUGAGUUGUCCAAAAUGUCCAUUGCUCGGUCUGGUAGUGUUAGUUUGAGAAAAUGGUGAAGAUUCAAAUUCUCUUGGAAUAGUUUGUCAGUAGGCUUUUUUUCGGUGAAAAUCUCCAACAAGAGGAUCCCGAAACUGUAUACAUCUCCCAUAAUGGACACACGCUCCCCCAUCCCAUACUCUGAAAAGUUGAUUGUUUGUAUAACAUUCAUUUGAUUGUUAUGUAAAUGCAUGCAAUUCAAAACUUACUGUGAUUGUGUAACCUCAUGUCUCUGUACUUUAAUUGUGUCAGGCACAUUAUUUGUUAAAUUGGAAAAUUUAGAAAAACACAUUAAUUGUAGUUACCUGGAGCUGUAUAUCCAAUGGUUCCCUUAAUACCAAGUGAAGAGAACUGAUUUAUAUCCUCUCUUGUGUUGAACUUUGGAAGGAGCUGAGCUAAACCAAAAUCACCUACAUGGGCAGUCAUAUCAUUGUCGAGAAGAACAUUCAGUGGCUUCAGAUCUCAAUGAACUAGAGGUGUUUGGCAUUGAUGGUGAAGAUAAGAUAAUGCAGAAGCCACGUCUGUUGCUAUGCUAAUCCUUUGAAGAAUGUUUAAACUGUUCUGUUCUAACUCUUCUUCCGGAUGUAACCAUUUCUCUAAGCUCCCAUUUGGCAUGAAUUGAUACACCAGAGCUUUAAAAUCAUUGCCUUGAAAAUCAGAAGUUGAACAAGCUGUUAUGAUCUUGACAAGGUGCCGGUGGCGGAUGUUUCUCAAUGCUUGACAUUCCGCUAUAAAGCUUCUGGAGGCUCCUUUUCGCUGGUGGUUGAGAACUUUAACUGCCACUACCAAUCCACUUAUGCUAAGAAUACCCUUGAAAACAAUGCCAAAACUGCCUGAUCCAAUGAUGUUUUCUGAAGAGAAUCCUCCAGUUGCAUUUAGUAGUUCUUCAUAAGAUAUCUUGGGGUAGAAAUUCAAUGUUGUAGAUACUGCUUGUGUUUGUUUCUUCGAUCUUUUCAUCCAGCAAAUCAGAAGAAGAAAUAAUAGCAGAGCAACAAAUGAAGCAACAAUGACAAUUACCAAGAUUAAUUUAAAAUGUUCUCUGUGUGCCUUUUUAGGUUCUUGCCUGGAGCUUGGUUGCAAAUGCAACUCUUGAAUUCCACCGCAAAGCUCGGGAUUUCCACG
rnacentral:lncRNA from 1 species